GCCCUAGUAUCGCCACUGGCUUCUAACCAGUCGUUAACAGCGUAAUGGAGUAUGCAGGUUCGAGUCCUGUCUAGGGUAC
rnacentral:tRNA from 1 species